CUAGGAUGAACGCUAGCGACAGGCCUAACACAUGCAAGUCAGGGGCAGCACAAGGAGCAAUCUGAGGUGGCGACCGGCGCACGGGUGAGUAACACGUAUGCAACCUGCCUGUAAGCGGGGAAUAACCCGUUGAAAGACGGACUAAUACCGCAUAAUACUAAAUUACUGCAUGGUAAUUUAUUUAAACAUUUAUGGCUUACAGAUGGGCAUGCGCAUGAUUAGCUAGUUGGAGAGGUAACGGCUCCCCAAGGCAACGAUCAUUAGGGGUUCUGAGAGGAAGGUCCCCCACACUGGUACUGAGACACGGACCAGACUCCUACGGGAGGCAGCAGUGAGGAAUAUUGGUCAAUGGACGAGAGUCUGAACCAGCCAAGUCGCGUGCAGGAAGAAAAUGUCCUAUGGAUUGUAAACUGCUUUUGCAGGGGAAUAAAGUGCAUCACGUGUGAUGUUUUGUAUGUACUCUGCGAAUAAGGAUCGGCUAACUCCGUGCCAGCCGCCGC
rnacentral:rRNA from 1 species